AGGUUUCUUCUCUCAUGAGUGAUGACUGAUGAGAGAAUUUUGUGUUUUGGAAAUGGGAGUAUUAUGUUGCAUAUGUAUAGACAAUGGGUGUAACCACUUCCUUUGAAAAGUUAUAUUUUGAUGUUGGAAAAUAAUUGUAGAUGUGAAUGGUUACCAUUAAAGAGUCAGUCUUUGUUUAUAGUGUGUUCGGUGCACCAAAAAAAAAAAAAAAAAAAAAAGUUUAUAGUGUGUUCAUGUUUAUUAAUAUU
rnacentral:lncRNA from 1 species